AGUCGGGGGAAACCCGUCU
rnacentral:snRNA from 1 species